UUGGUUAAUGUGGCCCACAUUACCACAUCUACACAACUAUCAAUUGUGAAAUUUCAAAUAAUAGAAACACUGUUUGGUAUGCAUUUUCAUUCCCAUUUUAAGUGCCUAGAAUGGGCUACUGCAUGGUCUCAUUCUGGAAUGCGCCAAAAAGCCCAUUUUGAGUUAUCAUUCUUGUAAAAAGUGGGCCUCUUCAAAGUUCAAACCUCUUAGCAUACACAGUUGAGUUGCAGUUGGCAUCACCCAACCUCUUAGCCUUCGACACCAGCAACUAUUCUGAAAUCCAGAUUAGCUCAUCCACCUCUCAAGGAAACGAGGAAUCAAGGCAGACCUUGCACUAGUUGUGAUGAAGAAUCUUGCUCUCAUCACGGCAAUGUGUAAAAAGAACAAGCUCAAGAUGACGAGCUUUAGGCUCCUCUAAUGUGGCAGUGUGGGAGAACCUCCGCUGUUGAAAGGUGGCCACCUGCCAAUGUGGAGGAAGCAUGUGGAUCUGCAAUACCGUUGAUUCCAUUACGUCUAGAUGGAAGAUGCAGAUAGUAUCCAAGGUGCAACACUUGUGGUUGUUUGCCUAUUCGGACCACUAUUUCCAGCAGACUGUGAUGUGAGGAUGCCAUUCUGCAUGGCAUGAAAUGCCCCGAUUGCUAUGGUCUCUGAAUCAAAGUCAAUGACAGUCCUCCCUCCUAGUGAAACUGAGAUGAUGUCUACUCCAUCCGCAAUGGCAUCAUCAAAAGCAGCAAGGAUAUCACUUCCAGCGCAACCUUCUGGAUUGCAAACUUUGUAAGCUGCAAUCCUUGCUGAUGGUACACCUCCCAGUGCAUUCCCUUGGGCUACUCCAUAAAAGCUCGCAUUAGAUACUAAGUUACCGGCAAUUGUGGAGGCAGUAUGUGUCCCAUGUCCUUCUGUAUCCCUCACUGAAUUACUUUCAUUAGAGUAAAAUCGUGCACCAAUGAUCUUGCUGUAAAAGAUUCAUGGAAAAUUGUUGAGAUUAAUCUAUCACAUCACUGCAUAUCA